rnacentral:rRNA from 1 species
ACGGUGGAAUCCUAGGCACCCAGAGACGAUGAAGGGCGCAGAUACCGGCGAAACGCUUCGGGGAGCUGGCAACAAGCAUAGAUCCGAAGAUCCCCGAAUAGGGCAACCUGCAAAACUACCAACAAAAUUCAUAAGUUGGAAAGAGAGAACCCAGUGAAUUGAAACAUCUUAGUAGCUGGUGGAAAAGAAAGCAAACGCGAUUCCCGUAGUAGCGGCGAGCGAACCGGGAACAGCCUAAACCUUGUAUGUGCGUUUACGUACAUAAGGGGGUAGUGGGAAGACUAAUAAAUUAAAUAAGUGGCUUAUCUUACUUACUUAUAAGUAAGUAAGUAAGUAAGAAUAAAAAACGAAGCAGCUGAAACCUGCACCAUAGAUGGUGAAAGUCCAGUAGUUGCAAUGUAAAAUAGAAUAAGUAAAGUCUAAUCCCGAGUAGCAUGGGACACGUGGAAUCCCGUGUGAAUCAGCGAGGACCACCUCGUAAGGCUAAAUACUACUGGGUGACCGAUAGAGAAAGAGUACUGCGAAGGAACGUUGAAAAGAACCCCCGUAGGGGAGUGAAAUAGAACAUGAAACCGUAUGCUUACUAGCAGUGGGAGGGGUCGCCUACUCCUGUUCUUAUAGGUAGGAGUAGAGAACGCCUGACCGCGUGCCUGUUGAAGAAUGAGCCGGCGACUUAGAGGGUCUGGCAGGUUAAGGAGGAAGUUCCGGAGCUAACGCGAAAGCAAGUCUGAAUAGGGCAAAGAAAAGUCAGAUCCUCUGGACCCGAACCCGGGUGAUCUAAUCAUGACCAGGAUGAAGCUUGGGUAACACUUAGUGGAGGAUUAGGGGAGAAAUUCCAAUCGAACUCGGAGCUAGCUGGAUCUCCCCGAAAUGCGUUUGGGCGCAGCGGUCAACGAAAAAGUUGAACUUCAACCAAUAGGAGCCGUCAUGGGGUAAAGAUACUGUUUCGAUGCGGGCUGCGAAAGCGGUACCAAGUCGUGGCAAACUCAGAAUACAUGAUGUAGCCUUCCGUUAGCCAGUGAGACUCGAAGGGAGAAGCUUUCGUUAGUCAAGAGGGAAACAGCCCAGAUCACCAGCUAAGGCCCCUAAAUGGUCACUAAGUGGGAAAGGAUGUGAGAAUGCUGUAACAACCAGGAAGUUCGCUCAUCAGGGCGCAAUAACAUGUGAAUGCUAUUGAAAAUUGCCGGGACUUAGAAAAGUGACCUGCCGAAGCUGUGAGAUUUACAGAAUCUAAAUCGGUAGGGGAGCGUUCCGUUGUUGGGUGAAGUUUCCAUGGAAAUGGGAAUGGACAGAAUCGGAAGUGAAAAAUGUUGGCCUUGAGUAACGAAAACAUUGGUAAGAAUCCAAUGCCCCGAAAACCGUUGGGUUCCUCCACUAGGUUCGUCCAUGGGGGGUGAGUCAGGACCUAAGGCAAGGCCGAAAGGCGUAGUCGAUGGAAAACAGGUUAAGAUUCCUGUACUGUUUUUAUUGGGAACCAAGGGACGAAGUAGACUAAACUGGGACUGUGAUUGGAAUACAUUGGAAGCGUUAAAGCAGACGAUUUUAGAAAAAAAACUAAAAUAAAGGAAAACGUGACCCCUAUUCUUAUAAGUAAUUAGAAGAGUAGCCAGUGAUGUCAAACUUCCAAGAAAAGCUUGUACACCAAAGUAUACUAAGGGGCGCGAGAGAACUCUCUCUAAGGAACUCGGCAAAUUAACCCCGUAAC